AGAGCCGAAGAUUGAAGCUUGAAGAAGUCCAGCGUUUCAGAUCAGAUGAGGAGCACUGGCUGGUAAAUGAAGAAGGAGAAGGAGCAACUGAAGAGGCAGUAGACAAUCCAAACGGAUCUAGUAUCAUGGAAACCAAGUCAGUGGAGGAUCUACUGGAGUGGCAUGGUCAGCUUUGUUGUGCUUUGAUAAGAGGGUCAACUCAGAUUCUCCAAGAAGCAGGCACCAAGACAGAAUUAGAUGUGAAAGAAAUACACUCAGAGAAAUGCUCUUGAAGGAUAAAGACGCCAAGGAGCAAGAGGAACUGUAAAAACCUCCAGAUCAUGUUGCUGUUUUCAAUAGUUCUUUAUAUAGAACUAAAUGAAAUUGUCUGAGUUUUGACAAUUAUAAUAUUUUAUUUCUGAUUAAUCAGAAAAUAGUUUGCCAUAAAAAUUUAUCACUUCUGAUAUUAGCACAUAAAUUUGUUUUUAUUGUAAUUUCAAAACUAAUGUCAAGACUGAGCAAAUCAUAAGAUGGAAGCACCUGUGAGUGCCUGGGACCCUCAAGAUCAUCAAAUCCAGCUUUCCCUGCAGAGAUGGUCUUUCAACUUUUGCCUGAACAUCAUCCUUGUGAGGGAAAUCGUUUCAUCACAAAGCAAUCCAGUUUACUACUGGAACACUGCAAUUAUUUGAAGAUUUUUGGCAUCACAUGUCACAACAUUGCUUCAUAUGAAUUGGUACUUAAAAGAAAACUCGACGCCAUAGAACUACAAAAUUAAAUCCAGGAAGAACCUCAGAGACGAUCUUCUUCCAACAUCCUCUUUCUCAGAUAAGGAAAUUAAGGUUUUAAAAGAUCUUGUGCCAAAAGUCACACAGUUGACUUGUGGCAGUUAAGAUUAAAUUUUAAAAUUCCU
rnacentral:lncRNA from 1 species